AGAAAGAAUCUCAAAGGUGCCCAAGAAGCCGACACUCAUGGAAGCCCCUUGUCCUGCACAAACUGAGGAGGACAAGAAAAGCAGAGACAACAGUCAGUUCUUUUUUACUCAGGCAGCAGACAGUUCUGAAAAUGAGUUUGAUCUUCAAGAUGAUGACAAAGAAACAGGAGCAGAAGGGAAAGGAAAACAGGAUGAUAACAUUUCUUCAAAAUUCACCCACUACGAUUGGAUGGAUGCAAAACCAUAUCCUGAAGCGGUACAGGCCAUUGGUGAGGACUGUAGUUUCACCUUCAGCUGUUUAUUUUUGUACAUUUUUGUCAGGCCCUGAAGAGUUUGCCUAUACAAUGGCCCCAUAGUGAAGGGGAAUAUUCAGGCUUUUUUUCCAACAGGAAUUCAGACAGCUGUUCGGAUGCUGGAACACACACUGAAGAAUCUUAAUGUUUACAGAGACUCAAAACCAAAACUUGAUAGCAUCCAGAUGCCAUACAGAGAAAGAAAGAAAAGGGUUUGAUAUUUUUUUCAAAUUCAUUUACAUUUUGCUUUCAACAUUACUGUCAAAUUAUAAUAAAUAUAAAAAGAACUUUAAAAACCAAGAAUAAUCUCCUGCAUGUUACAUCUUAACAUUUCUGUACACAGAUUCAGGAACUUCCACCUCUGAAACCAAUACAGCGGCCGCCUGAAAGGGUUGAUGAGUUAAUCAAGCAAAUGAGAAAGAGUAUAACCAUAAGACGUGUCUCCUUGAGUAUGAACAUUUCUGACACAGUCCCUUUCAGACAAGGUGACCUUUCAUGACCUUACCUUUGUUUAUGUAACAUUUUGUUUUCUGUACAGGCAGUGCUCUAAGCAGCACAGGCGGUAAAAGGGAAGACUACAAAGAAGCUGUAUCACUGCUCAGGGAUUUGAAGAACAAGUACAAGAUGGUCCAUAAGAAAACAAUGGAGCAUCUAGCCAGCCUUGAGUCAGCCGGAAACACCAACGUCAUUGGAGCUCAACCUCUACCUGUGAAAAUGCUGUGAUUCAUAUUGCAAACGCUAGACUGAAAUGUGAUUGAUUUCCUGUCUGGGCUAACACCUUGUUGAUAUUGGCAUAAAACUGGCGUGAUUGGAAUGAAAAUCACUGUCUGUCUCUUCACAU
rnacentral:lncRNA from 1 species